rnacentral:rRNA from 1 species
GACGAACGCUGGCGGCGUGCUUAACACAUGCAAGUCGAACGGAAAGGCCCUGCUUGUAGGGUAUUCGAGAGGGGAAAGGGUGAGUAACACGCGGGUGUUCCGUGCUCCACAUUGGGAUAUGCCUUGGAAACUGGGGGUAAUAUCGCAUAGGAGCCAUUUUUCGUGUGGUGGUUGGAAAGUAUUUUGGGUGUAGGAUGGGUUGGCGGCCUAUCAGGUUGUUGGUGGGGUAAUGGCCUACCAAGGCGGGGAUGGGUAGCCGGCCGGGGAGGGUGGACGGCCAAAUUGGGACUGAGAAACCGGCCAGACUCCCACGGGGGGGAGGAGGGGGGAAAAUUUGAACAAGGGCGGGAGCCUGAUGCAGCGACGGCGCGUGGGGGAUGGCGGCCUUCGGGUUGGAAACUCCUUUCGCUAGGUACGAAGCUUUUUGUGACGGUACCUAGAUAAGAAGCACCGGCUAACUACGUG